UACGGAGGGUGCAAGCGUUAUCCGGAUUUACUGGGUUUAAAGGGUGUGUAGGCGGGCUUUUAAGUCAGUGGUGAAAGCCCGGAGCUCGACUCCGGAAAUACCAUUGAAACUGUGAGACUUGAGGAUGAGAGAGGUGAGUGGAAUUCCCAGUGUAGAGGUGAAAUUCGUAGAUAUUGGGAAGAACACCGGUGGCGAAGGCGGCUCACUGGCUCAUAUCUGACGCUCAGGCGCGACAGCGUGGGGGAUCAAACAGG
rnacentral:rRNA from 1 species